CGACGCCGCACCGGCAACAGCUGCCCGCGCCUGCGCGCCCACACCGGCUGCGACCCGCGCGCCGCGCCGCGGCACCACGAUGCACCGCUGAACGAACGUCCCGCGAUCGCCAACGGGGAGCUGACUCCACCGUGGUACGCGUCGCCUGAAGCAGCACGUGCGCCUCACUGUAACUGUUGGGGAUCCUCCCAGGACUGUACAUCGCCUGACGCGAGGCUUCCUUUUGAACCUGUCUGCGAGAAGUAAAAACUGCAAGAAGGGCAGAUCAUGGCGGCUGACGACUGGGCGCUGAGCGGCGGUCCAGAGCGGCCGGGCGACCCCAACCGUCUCCUGGGGGCGGCGUCUUUGUCGGCGUCGGCGGCGUCUCGGCGCCCUGCCUGUGCCCUGUGAGCGUCCGCUCUGCCCUGGACGCCGAGUGGCGCUGGCUGGCCCAGGCGACACCGCACCCUACGACUGGACCGCGGCCGCUUCCAACAGCAGCAGACGCCACCACCGACUCCACUCCGCUCUGCGCUGCCCGCGUGAUGUCCUCCGAAGAUGUUGAUCCGCACCUUCAUGUACAAGCUCGUGCGCCGGGUGAGGAAACACAGACGCUUCCGCGGUGUAAACGGCCGAACAAAGCAGUGAAGGCGAUUGCUCCUUCUGGGGCAGACACGCGUUAAGUUUUACAAUGUUCACUUAACAUCUGGAACAAUGAGAAACUCUGAUGUUGGGUGAUGGACUAUACUGAAAAAAAACCUAGACAGUUGGUCUCUACGCGUAAAUACUAUUGCAAACCAAAGAAGACUACAUUAGUUCAACUGUGAUUUUACUAGUGGUGAAGUGGUGAAAAAAUAUUGACUGCGAGAAGUUUAAAAAUAAUAUCAAUUUUGGUUAAGUCAUUGUAGGAUCCGAAUAUUCUUUUUUGUUUGAUUUAAUUUAGCACAGUAGUGAAAGUAACACCAUCACUGUGCAGCUCACAGGCAAAACUAGCUGAUGUAUUCAGCAAUAAAAAGUAGUUUUAUUUCCAGACAAGUGGUAUUCAUUCUUUGGUGAAGAAUUUUGUUUAUAUAUCAGGUGUAAGGAAAUACAAGGCUCUGUCGAGACAUAGACUUUUAAUCUGAUUCCGGUGCAUAAUUCUCAUAAGUGUACACACAUUUUUUCGCCUAACUUGUGGGGUAGUAAGACCUAGGAGAGAAGGAGCUGCAGAAAGCCUGAGGUUAGCACACAGGCUCGAGGCCUGUGUAGUGACGUCAAACUCCGCGGUGGCUGCCGAAAGCCGUUCGCCGGACGAGCGCACGCCGUCCGCGGAAGCCUGCACGGCGCCAGAUAUGGCGGCAACGGCGGUAGCGUCGGGGGCGGCGUCGGAGGCGGCUGGAUCCGCCGCGACGCCCCCCGACGCAGACGCCGAGCUGUGGGCGCUGCUG